GGUGGCUCAGUGGUAGAGUGCUUGCCUUGCAUGCAUAAGGUCCUGGGGUUCGAUUCCUCUGCACCA
rnacentral:tRNA from 1 species